AAAUCUCUCAGCUGCUUUGCCUCUGUAGAAAGAAAUCAGCAGCAGCGAGCAGCUGCCAGCGCACGUACAUGAGAGCACAUGUGGGUGGCACUGGGUGCAUGUGGGUAAAGUGUCUUGUCCAAAGACACAACGGCAGUGACUAGGAUGGCAGAAGCGGGGAUCGAACCUGGAACCCUCAAGUUGCUGGCAUGGCCGCUCUCCCAACCGAGCUGUGAUUAUUCAGUUCCUCCUCUAGCUGCUCGCCCGGACACGCCCUCGCUUACGCUGAGCGCAGCACGCCCACUGCAGACAAUCGGCAAUCCGCACACUUGGGUCUGAUGAGGGCGAGCUGUAUAUAGGACCAGUGGACCCAAGAGUCCUGGAUGGAACUUAGUUUACGUCUUUAGAUACCGUAAGGCUUAUGCUCUCUCUCUCUGCGUUUUUCCCUCGUGUCUGACAUCCUUGUU